UACGUAGGGGGCAAGCGUUGUCCGGAUUUAUUGGGCGUAAAGAGCGUGUAGGCGGCCAGGUAGGUCUGCUGUGAAAACUCGAGGCUCAACCUCGAGAUGUCGGCGGAAACCAUCUGGCUAGAGUCCGGAAGAGGAGAAUGGAAUUCCCGGUGUAGCGGUGAAAUGCGUAGAUAUCGUAAGGAAGACCAGUGGCGAAGGCGGGUCUCUGGACAGUUCCUGACGCUGAGGCACGAAGGUCAGGGGAGCAAACGGG
rnacentral:rRNA from 1 species